CUUUCUUGCUAUGCAUGAUAUAAACUUCUGCUUUGAAUAUUGCUUCCCAAGGUCUAAAGACUAUAUGUUUGUCAGUAUUGUUCUUAAGUUAAUCCUACACUGAGAACAUGUCCUAGAUUCCUUUAAGAUCUUCCAUUUUUUGUUUGCCUAGUAAGAAAAUCUCAGAAAUUGAUUUUUCUCCUUGGGUGUAGUGCAAACAUCAUUAUAAGGUUGUGCAUAUGGUAAAAAUAAAUGAAGAUGUCAGUGAAUUAUCCUGGACCCUAACAGAAGGCCUCUUAAGAGAAGAAAAGCUCUCAGGAAUGGAACAACUGAACUGAACAAAGACGGUCAAAUGGCUUAUGAAACAAUGGGAUAGACACUGGGAGGGCUAACC
rnacentral:lncRNA from 1 species